UCAAUGUCAAGAGCUCUUGAAGACUGGUUCCUAUACAAAACUCCAUUUUGUCCUCUAGACAAAACUCCAUUUUUUCCAUGAGACCUAGAAGUCUCCCCUCAAUUUCCGGCAUUUGAUUGUACUUGGGAGAGAUUGUAAUCUCGAUUGGAAGGUCCAGAUUUUUUUCUUCUUCUGAGGAGUGGGUGCUUAGAAUUUGAUGGACGAUGGGCUCGAGAUAGAAAAUGGAAGUUCUGUCUAUCUGCCCCUAAUUUGAUAUCUCACCCCAGGAAUGUGCAUGGCGCUUCAAGCAUUUUUAUCUCCUGAAUCAUAGGGCUACCUAAAUGUUUUGACCGGAUAUGAGGAUGGUUCCAUGGCUUGGUGGGAUGUAAGGAAUCCAGGGGUUCCAAUGAAUUCUGUUAAGUUUCAUAAAGAACCAGUUUUGAGCCUUUGUAUUGAUGGGGCAUGCAGUGGUGGUAUCUCUGGAGCUGUUGAUGAAAAACUUGUGUUUUUCUCUUUGGAUUAUCAAUUGGGAUCAGCACUGGUCAAGAAAGAAAUUACAUUGGAGCGACCUGGAAUAGCAGGAACAUCAAUCCGGCCAGAUGGCAAAAUUGCUGCAUUUGCUGGCUGGGAUCACCGGUAUGCUUGAACUAUUCUACACUUUGCACGGAUGAAACCAAUAAAAAGCAAAUGAAGUUCAAAGGAGUUAUCUGAGCUGCCACCGAGAUGAAAAGGGGAAAUAAUUGCUAAGCGAGCCUUUAGGUAUUUUGGUUGUACAAGCGCUUGCUUCAUGGUAACUGGUUGUGCUCUUGGUUCGGUGAAUUUCUAGGAAUCACCAAAAGCUGAAUUCACUCAAGAGAUCUUAACCUUCUCUUCAGCUGACUCCUAUCCAUGUGUACAAGAAGUUAGGAAGCUGAUUCUAGCAGUGAUAAAAGUAAAAUUCAAUUUUCCUGGCAUGUUCUUUAUGGGAAAUCACUUGUGUGAAUGCAACUAUAGAUUACCUCAGAAUCACCAAAAGAAUCAGCUCUUCAAAGCACAAAGCCAUCUGCUGCAGGUUGGCCUAAACUUUCUUAUGUUGACAUCUCACAAAGUACAUUUUUAAUAGAACAAACAGGUUGUCCUAGCAUUUUCCAUGUAUUCGUUCAUUCCUUUUCAAUGUACUCUCUGAGGCAUGCUAAAUAACUC